rnacentral:tRNA from 1 species
GCAUUUAUGGCUGAGAGGUCGAAAGCAAUGAACUCAUAAUUCAUUUUGAAUUUAAAAUAAACACAACAAUGGUUCGAAUCCAUUUAAAUGCA